rnacentral:rRNA from 1 species
GACGAACCGAGCGAACGUUAUUCGGAAUCACUGGGCUUAAAGGGCGCGUAGGCGGGCGGCCAAGUCAGGGGUGAAAGCCCCCAGCUCAACUGGGGAAGUGCCUUUGAUACUGGUCAUCUCGAGGGAGAUAGGGCGUGCGGAACUUCCGGUGGAGCGGUGAAAUGCGUAGAUAUCAGGAGGAACACCGGUGGUGUAAACGGCUUCUGGACCAUAACUGACGCUGAGGCACGAAAGCGUGGGUAGCAAACAGG